CCCUUAGAUGUUCUGGGCCGCACGCGUGCUACACUGAGUGGAUCAGCGGGUCAGGUUGCGCGAAAGUGUUUCCUAAUCUUGAAAUCCGCUCGUGAUGGGGAUUGACGGUUGCAAUUUUCCGUCAUGAACGAGGAAUACCUUGUAAGCGCGGGUCAUCAUCCCGCGCUUAAUACGUCCCUGCCCUUUGUACACACCGCCCGUCGCUCCUACCGAUUGAGUGGUCCGGUGAGGCUUUGGGAUCUGAGCGGAAAGAGCGUUUCGCUGUUUCUGCUCGGAAAACUCAGUCGAACCUUAUCAUUUAGAGGAAGGAGAAGUCGUAACA
rnacentral:rRNA from 1 species